rnacentral:piRNA from 1 species
UUCUGGACAUUGGUGCAUGAGUCCGUCCC